rnacentral:rRNA from 1 species
UACGUAGGGGGCAAGCGUUGUCCGGAUUUAUUGGGCGUAAAGAGCGUGUAGGCGGCCUGGUAGGUCAGCUGUGAAAACUCGAGGCUCAACCUCGAGACACCGGUUGAAACCAUCAGGCUAGAGUCCGGAAGAGGAGAGUGGAAUUCCCGGUGUAGCGGUGAAAUGCGCAGAUAUCGGGAAGAACACCCGUGGCUAAGGCGGCUCUCUAGUACGGUACUGACGCUGAGACGCGAAAGCGUGGGGAGCGAACAGG